UAACUAGAUUGUGUAACGACCCUGGGUUUAUAAGCGCGGAUUUCGCGCUUUUGGGACACAGACGAUAGCGCGCUGGACUUCGGCUAGAAGGUCGAGGGAUCGAGACCUGCUCCAUUACAAUAGUUAAAGAUUUGUAGUUAAGAACGCUGCUAACGAGUAUGAGACGCCUGCGGUCUCAGCUGUCCACCACAAACACCAGGACCUCCGUGCCCAGGCAGUGGUGCAUCCGGUGGGGCCUCAUCCUCUGCUGGCCUACCACGUCCCACAUGGCCAACCCCAGACCCCUUGCUUCCGUCUCCAGCAUCUCUACUCGCUGUACUUGAGCGUGUAGAGCAGGGUGGACUUCCCCGAGCCGUCCAGGCCCAGCAUCACAACCUGAGCCUGCUGAGCAUGCUUAGACCCAUGCAGUCCCAUGCUCAACCCAAACACAGGUCCUGUUGUCUGGAGAAGAAGGCUGGCUUGUGUUAUUGUUGCUGCCUCAGCUCUGUGCAGCAAUGCCCUGCCUGCAGUUACUUUGUGCUCUGCUCUGCCAUCUCACAGUACAUCCAACUGGCCCCAAGACCGCAGACCACAUGUAACCAGCCCAGGUAUUCCAGAUCUGGCUUCGUCACCUGCGGGAUCCUCGGGG